rnacentral:tRNA from 1 species
AAGACUAUAACUUAGAGCUGCUAACUCUAAUAAAAUGUCAACAUUUAGUCUUU